UUCGCAAUGCCCGAAAGGGUGACGAAGCGACGCCGCGUGUGGGAAGAAGGCUCUAGGGUUGUAAACCACUGUCAGGAGUUAAGAAAUGUAGAGGUGUUGAUAGCGCCUUUAUUUGACGAAGGCUCCAGAGGAAGCCACGGCUAACUCUGUGCCAGCAGCCGCGGUAAUACAGAGGUGGCAAGCGUUGUUCGGAAUUAUUGGGCGUAAAGAGCACGUAGGCGGUCCUGCAAGUCUGUUGUGAAAUCCUUCCGCUUAACGGGAGAACGGCAGCUGAUACUACAGGACUAGUGUACGGGAGGGGAGAGUGGAACUUCUGGUGGAGCGGUGAAAUGCGUAGAUAUCAGAAGGAACGCCGGCGGCGAAAGCGACUCUCUGGCCCGAAACUGACGCUGAGUGUGCGAAAGCUAGGGGAGCAAACGGGAUUAGAUACCCCGGUAGUCCUAGCCGUAAACGAUGGGCACUAAGUAGAGGGGUUUU
rnacentral:rRNA from 1 species